UUUCAAGAAAUGCCUUAUGAUGAUGUUUGUGAAACAAGAGAAGGAUUUAGUGGUCCUUGAAACAGUGCUGGGGUUGGCACAACAACGUCGCCAUUGUUUAAUCGGGUGCAUUCCCCUGCCACAAGAAAUUGCUAAACAGGCCCCUCUCUACUUUGAAAAGGCAAUUGAAGAAGCUGAAGAUGAGUGGAGGCAAGCACAAUGCAGAGAAGCUGAUUGAUAAAGUGUGAAGGGGUUGCAUUGUUCAAUUCCCG
rnacentral:misc_RNA from 1 species